GACGAACGCUGGCGGCGUGCCUAAUACAUGCAAGUCGAGCGAAGCGGCGGAUGGGUGCGUAACGCGUGGGUAACCUGCCCUUAAGUCUGGGAUACCAUUUGGAAACAGAUGCUAAUACCGGAUACUAAAGGAUGGACCUGCGAUGCAUUAGCUAGUUGGUAAGGUAACGGCUUACAAAGGCGCUGAUGCAUAGCCUAGUGGAGAGACUGAGAGGCAAAAUUGGGACUGCGACACGGCCCAAACUCCUACGGGAGGCAGCAGUAGGUGAUCUUCCAGAAGUGACGAAAGUCUGAUGGAGCAACGCUGCGUGAGUGAAAAAGGUUAUCGGAUCGUAAAGCUCUGUUGUUGGUGAAGCGGUAAUCAACCAGAAAGUCACGGCUAACUACGUGCCAGCAGCCGCGGAAAUAC
rnacentral:rRNA from 1 species